CUCGCUCGCGCUCGCUCCUCCCGCACCCACCUCCCCGGCCCCAGGCUCUCUGCAGCUAGGCGCUGACUCUCCGUCCCCGGCGAGGUGGCUGCAAACUCGCGGGCACGCACGGAGCUCGGGGAGCCCAGGGACUCGGGGGAGGGGACGCGCGCGGAAGGCGCCAGCUUCCUUUCGCCCGCCCCUGGCAGCAGCGAGUCGCGGUUGGAGGCACCCGGGGCCCCAGCCGACAGAGCCGGGCGGCGGCGGCGGCGGCUGCAGCUUCCCUUUUCUCCAGGCGAGUCGUGGAGCGGCUCAGGGACUGGCCCUAAAAAGAGCAGGAAAUCUUGUUUACCGCCUGCGGAGAGGAGCCGAUCGAGCCUUUGUCUGGAAAGUCAGCAUCUCCGGCUGCAAUGUGUUCCUGGUGACAUUAGCGUUGGGCAGACUGGCCAGGGGAGGGGGGUCGCCAGGUUCUAGUCUGCUUACGGAGGCGACUGAAGCGGGUGACUUUUGUGCAGUCGUUUUUAUAUUUGGGGAGCUCCCUUUUUUCCUCCCUCGUCCGCUGCCGGGCAUGUCCUGAUCUGGCGGCCGCUCCUACCGCCCCGGGCUGCCGAUCCGAGCCGUCUCCACCGGUCUCCCUCCCUGACUUUGCAACACCGCGUUCCAGGAGGACCGACCACGGCGAGGAAGGAGGCGGGGAGCCGCGAACACCGGGACCCAAACCUUGACAUGCUCUCGGGCGGAAAGGGGGCAGCCAGGAGCUGAGCGCACCGUCAGUGCUGCUUUGCCGGCCGGCUCCCAGCGCCGGGCUCCGGGCGCCCUGCCCUGCGCCUGGGCGGCAGCCUCGUUGGUCUGGGGGGCGCACCCCCGCCCCCUGCUUCGCGCUCCGGGAGUCCGCGGCCGGCAGGACCAUGCUGCUGAAGGAGUAUCGGAUCUGCAUGCCGCUCACCGUGGACGAGUACAAAAUCGGACAGCUGUACAUGAUCAGCAAGCACAGCCAUGAGCAGAGCGACCGAGGAGAGGGAGUGGAGGUCGUCCAGAAUGAGCCCUUCGAAGACCCUCACCACGGCAACGGGCAGUUCACGGAGAAGCGGGUGUAUCUCAACAGCAAACUGCCUAGUUGGGCUAGAGCUGUUGUCCCCAAAAUAUUUUAUGUUACAGAGAAGGCUUGGAACUAUUAUCCCUACACAAUUACAGAAUACACAUGCUCCUUCCUGCCGAAGUUCUCCAUUCACAUAGAAACCAAGUAUGAGGACAACAAAGGAAGCAAUGACAGCAUUUUUGAUAAUGAAGCCAAAGACAUAGAGAGAGAAGUUUGCUUUAUUGAUAUCGCCUGCGACGAAAUUCCAGAACGCUACUACAAAGAAUCUGAGGAUCCUAAACAUUUCAAGUCAGAGAAGACAGGGCGGGGCCAGCUAAGGGAAGGCUGGAGAGAUAGCCAUCAGCCCAUCAUGUGCUCCUACAAGCUGGUGACCGUGAAGUUCGAGGUCUGGGGGCUUCAGACCAGAGUGGAACAGUUCGUACACAAGGUGGUCCGAGACAUUCUGCUGAUUGGACAUAGACAGGCUUUUGCCUGGGUUGAUGAGUGGUAUGACAUGACAAUGGAUGAAGUCCGCGAAUUCGAACGAGCCACUCAGGAAGCCACCAACAAGAAAAUCGGCGUUUUCCCACCUGCCAUUUCCAUCUCAAGCAUUCCCCUGCUGCCUUCCUCUGUCCGCAGUGCCCCUUCUAGCGCUCCGUCCACUCCUCUCUCUACAGAUGCACCCGAAUUUCUGUCCGUUCCCAAAGAUCGGCCCCGGAAAAAGUCUGCCCCAGAAACUCUCACACUUCCAGACCCUGAGAAAAAAGCCACCCUGAAUUUACCUGGCAUGCACUCUUCAGAUAAGCCAUGUCGGCCCAAAUCAGAGUAACUUCAGAUGAAUAUCUCACGGGGUAUUAUAUUUUCAUCUGGGUUUUUUUUUUUUUUAAACAAUCUUCUGAUAUAGGGAAAGACUGCUUUGUCACUAAACAUGUUCCUUUGACCUCUCUGAGUGUGCAUGUGGUUAAGUAAUUUCACAUAUAAUAUGAUUCCCUCUGUAUGCCACGUAUUACAUGUAAAAUGUAAGCUGUCCAAAGGACAGAAGGAAUCUUCUGCAGCACAGCCGUAAGCCAGGGAGGAAGCCUUGCUACUGGGCCUUUGAUGAGAUUGGCACGGACUUCAAGCAUAACUAAAUAAAAACUUUGCACCACUUUCUUAUGGGGUGUGGUAACAUAGUGAAGUCAGUUUCCUCCCAUCAAACCUGAAAUUCUCAAAGAACACUCUCAGGCAUAACAUAUCUAAUUAUUAAAUUUCGAACUGCUGAUCACCAAUACUUGAAUACCAGUAGUGACUGAGACUCCUAGUUUGGUUAGUCUGACUCAGGAUUGGGGCCUAAUUAACUCUUGAAAUUUUUGAAAAUUUUAAUUCUCAACCUAUAGAGGCUCCAAGUGCAAUUAAUGAUAACUUCUUUAUACCUUUCUCAGAAUUUAAUAAAGAGUCCACUUGUUUUUUGUCUUGAGAACUUGCCCCUUGGUGCCCCUGUAAGGGCCUCAGAAAUCUUUAAGAAUUGCAUGGAUGAAUGUGACCAUAACUGACUGGUUUCAGGAAUGGUUUAGAUUAAGAGACAAGACUCCAGAUGAGGCAAAUAUAAUUUUUCUCUACAGGUACCAAUACACCUUGACUUGUCAGCUUCCGUCACCCAUUGAGAUUCUCAGAAUUUGCAAUUAAUUGAAUAGAAUUCAUCAAAGAAGUUCAAGGGUAGCGUAAGCUAACUGGCUUUCACACUGUCAGCCUGUCUGGUGCGUGAACCAUCCCACACCUUGCUUUGCUCCUACUAACAUCCAGACUUCCCUGGAACAGAUUGCCCACCGCUAGACCUUAGGAAAGACUCAUUCUCUUGCUCUUUAACUCAACAUCCAAAUACUGGCAAUGGGGCAGAAAUCCAGUGAAUGCUGUCAAGUGGGAGCAGAGAAUGAGCGGAAUUGCUGACUCCUGUUUGUAGACUGAAGAGGAGGAGUGAUGAGAAACGCCCCUCGGUCUAGCUUUCUUUUCUGCCCUGCACAGGGUGGCAAUGCAAGAGAGGAAUCAAGGUUGAAAGGCGGCAAGACCAUCCAUCAAAGUGGCAGGACGAAUUCUCCAGUCUGAGGAGACCUAUCACCUUUGCACCUCACUGCCUUUAAACACAGAAGGGAGGGCCAGCAGAAUCUCAGCACUGACGCUUGGCCCUCACGAAAGGACAAAAGGAUGAGAACAAGGUCAUUGGGCAACUCCAAGGCCCAUGCCCCAGCCAGCUUUCCUGACCGUAACCUCCAGCCUCAGGAAAGGGACCUUUCCAAAACACAGAUUCCAAAGAAAACAAGACAGACCAAGGAGCGUCCUCUCCAGUGGACCCUGCCUGCUUCGCGCUGUCCGUGCUCGGCACUCUGUGUGGUGUCUUUCAGAUCGAUAUCUCUUCCCAAGGAGCAAGUGCAGGGCCCCCAUGAGCCCUGCACCGACGUGUUCUAAGUCCUAGGUCAGACUGUCAAGAUCAUUUACCUAUAGGUUGAUAUUUAGCUUGAAGAAAAAAAAUUAAAAAAUUUAAAAAAAGGAAGAACUCAAAGGAAACCAGUUGCAAAUACCUUAGAUCAACAGUGCAUCCCUUUCCCAGGAACGAUGGUGUUGUACUGAGACACCUUCUUUGCAUGGUAUGGAAGCAUGAUUUUUGCUUGUGGGAACACUUAGUCUUUGAUCAAACCUCUCACAUUGCUCAGUGGUUCCCUUUCCGCGCAGUAGUACUUCCCGAGAAUGUUUGACUUUAGAAAGCGAAAUUCUAGUUUCAGAAGACACUGAGCUAGCAUAUGCGUUGGCUUCCGCCACAAGCCGACAUCGGGGUGGGGGUGGGAUCAUUAUUUUCGAGCAGAGCAAAUUGAUUUCAUGCAGGUUGUUAACACAUCUGCCGCCUCAUUUUUCCCAUGAACAACAUUGCUCUUUUCCCUUUCUAGAAAGUAGCUUCUGCCAUCAAGGUCAAUGAUUCUAUAUGCUUUCGAGAGCUCAUUUCUGAUGUCCUUUUGUGAGCGCUCUUUUAUAGCCAGCAGAACACAGCCUUCCACCGCCAAGCUAGCCACGACAGUGUGAUCCUUAGCGUGUGCUCUUAAAGCAUGUUCUGUUUUUCUGCCUACAUGUGGACGUUAACAAAAGGGGAGUGUGUGCAGAUAUUCCUUCAGCUGCUUCAGCUAUUCAAUCCAGUCAUCACGAGGCAUAAAUGACUUCAAUACUUCAUACAUUUUGGUUUUCGGGUGUUCUUUCACAUCCUUUACACAUGCAUUUGUUAUUGUGGGAGAUAAGCCUGCGAUGAACGUGUACAUAGAACAUGAAUAAUUCGUAGAAGGGUGGAAACUAAGUGGCCGCAUGAUGGAAAUUUAGAAGAAAAAAAGAAGCAGACGCUUGAAAUUGCUAAGCAUGUUUGGGGGAAAAAAAAUAGAAUCUUUAACUCAGUGCCUCUGUUUGCAAUGUGGAAACCUUCAACUUUAUUCACCAAAAUUGUAUUAUACAUGUAUAUAUAUAAAUAUAGUAUAGUGAAUCAGACACCACUAGUUUUCAGUCUCCUGUAGCCAAAUUGAAAUAAAUAACCCAUGAUUAACACUUAUGUUCACCCCAUCUUCAUCUCUGAUGUUGGUGGAGGUCAUUGAAAGGAUGGUAAAUUUCAUUACUUGGGGUAGAGUUCAACUAUGGACCGUCCCGCGCUUUUCGUUGGCUGGAGCACGGCUUUCUUGCUUUGGCUAUGCUCUCCUGGGGUAAGAAGGUUUCGGGGUUUAUUGCAUAAGAUUUGUCAGAAAUCACCUCUGAAGGUCAUUGGCGUUCCCACUGCACGGUUGUAAUAAGAUAAAUUAAGGGCAAAGGGUAAGGACAGAGUGGGACGUGUUUAGUUAACCAUCCUUACACGGAAACCAUCUGGGUUCGCAGGUGAACUAAUCUGUAUACCCUCUCUUACGGUUUUUGCAUCUGUGUGUGGGGGAAAGGGUUUUAAUUCAUUUGCAGAUAUUUAUUGGCCAUGUUUUUGGUUGUGAAAAAUCUCUUAAGUAGCACAGUUGUGGGGGUAUAAAACAGAUGGAAAACACACACAUACACACACAAUACCCCCAAAAGUAAUUCUGCCAUUUUCUUUCUGGACAUUGUAGUCAACAGUGAACUAAGAUUAGAUUCUGACACAUCUUGAUCAAUCAUUUUUCUGUGAAGGUUUCAGGGCUAAUGUGAUUAUGUAUAUUCUUCAGUUCCACUUUCUUUAGCUUUUCUUCAUGGAUCAGAGACAACAAGGUUAGUCCCCAAUAGGUCACUGACUGGCUUAGGUGAGUAAGAAUUUGACUUUGAAGAAGGGCCGGAAUAUAACUGAUUCUACAUAUAAUGUGUAAUCUGAUCAUAGAAGUUGUCUCGAAGUUUUAGUACCUUUCUGAUGAUCUGACUCAGUAGAUUAGGUGACAGUCUGUCAUCUAGGCAGUCAUUCUUGAAAUAAAAAAAAAAGAGUCAGUUCAAUGACUGCAAUUUGAUCAUAAAGUGAAACCCUUCGUUCUUGCUGAAACCGAAAUGUUACGCAGUAGCACAAGGUUGGCAGGCUGAGGCGAAACCUACCCCAUUCUUCUCCUCUGUUCUGCCUUUAAAACAAUCUGUUAGCGUUUGAACUAUAAGUAUUUAAGCUUUUUAGGAGUUAGUGCAAUAAGAGAAUGUGAAUAUGUCGGGAACUUCUCAGAUGCCAUUAUUAAUUGUAAUUUUGUUGUUAAAUUAACAAAUGCUUUAGGAUUAAGCCUCUUGAUGUUUUUGCUUUAAAUCGAAAGCAUGUCUGUUCAAUUCCAAGUCUCUCUGAGUUUCUGUGUAUCACCAAGAAGAGGUUCUUUCAUUCAAUGUUGUCCCUAUGCCACUGACACGUCGCUUCAAGUGUAACUCUUAGUGUUUCCAUUUUGAGCUGGGAUCGCGAUUGGUUACGUUAGUCAAUACACCACUGCCACUGCGGAAGGACCAAGUUUUGGAACGCACAGUGUUACCGACACAAGCAGAGGAGACAAGGGGAUCCUCACAUACGCCAUCCUCUGUGUCAUUUCAUGGCUGUUCUGUGUUCCCCCCAGUUAUUUAUUAUUGUUAAUAACUUCCUUUUUCUUACAUUCUGUUGUAAAUAAAGUACAAAGCAAUCUUCUUUUCAA